GCCUGAGUGGCUCAGGUGGUUAAGCAACUGACUUCAGCUCAGGUCAUGAUCUCACAGUUUGUGGGUUCGAGCCCCACGUCAGGCU
rnacentral:tRNA from 1 species